UGUGUGACUGCCUGUCCUUGUGUGUGUGUGUGUGUGUGACUGUCUGUCUCUGUGUGUGUGUGUGACUGCCUGCCUGUGUGUGACUGUCUGUGUGUGUGACUGUCUGUCUGUGUGACUGCCCAUGUAUGUGACUGCCUGUGUGUGUGACUGUCUGUCUGUGUGACUGCCCGUGUGUGUGACUGCCUGUGUGUGUGAGACUGUCUGUCUGUGUGACUGUCUGUGUGUGUGAC